rnacentral:rRNA from 1 species
GGUUAAGCGACUAAGCGUACACGGUGGAUGCCCUGGCAGUCAGAGGCGAUGAAGGACGUGCUAAUCUGCGAUAAGCGUCGGUAAGGUGAUAUGAACCGUUAUAACCGGCGAUUUCCGAAUGGGGAAACCCAGUGUGUUUCGACACACUAUCAUUAACUGAAUCCAUAGGUUAAUGAGGCGAACCGGGGGAACUGAAACAUCUAAGUACCCCGAGGAAAAGAAAUCAACCGAGAUUCCCCCAGUAGCGGCGAGCGAACGGGGAGGAGCCCAGAGCCUGAAUCAGUGUGUGUGUUAGUGGAAGCGUCUGGAAAGGCGCGCGAUACAGGGUGACAGCCCCGUACACAAAAAUGCACAUGCUGUGAGCUCGAUGAGUAGGGCGGGACACGUGGUAUCCUGUCUGAAUAUGGGGGGACCAUCCUCCAAGGCUAAAUACUCCUGACUGACCGAUAGUGAACCAGUACCGUGAGGGAAAGGCGAAAAGAACCCCGGCGAGGGGAGUGAAAAAGAACCUGAAACCGUGUACGUACAAGCAGUGGGAGCCUCUUAAUGGGGUGACUGCGUACCUUUUGUAUAAUGGGUCAGCGACUUAUAUUCUGUAGCAAGGUUAACCGAAUAGGGGAGCCGAAGGGAAACCGAGUCUUAACUGGGCGUUAAGUUGCAGGGUAUAGACCCGAAACCCGGUGAUCUAGCCAUGGGCAGGUUGAAGGUUGGGUAACACUAACUGGAGGACCGAACCGACUAAUGUUGAAAAAUUAGCGGAUGACUUGUGGCUGGGGGUGAAAGGCCAAUCAAACCGGGAGAUAGCUGGUUCUCCCCGAAAGCUAUUUAGGUAGCGCCUCGUGAAUUCAUCUCCGGGGGUAGAGCACUGUUUCGGCAAGGGGGUCAUCCCGACUUACCAACCCGAUGCAAACUGCGAAUACCGGAGAAUGUUAUCACGGGAGACACACGGCGGGUGCUAACGUCCGUCGUGAAGAGGGAAACAACCCAGACCGCCAGCUAAGGUCCCAAAGUCAUGGUUAAGUGGGAAACGAUGUGGGAAGGCCCAGACAGCCAGGAUGUUGGCUUAGAAGCAGCCAUCAUUUAAAGAAAGCGUAAUAGCUCACUGGUCGAGUCGGCCUGCGCGGAAGAUGUAACGGGGCUAAACCAUGCACCGAAGCUGCGGCAGCGACGUUUAUGCGUUGUUGGGUAGGGGAGCGUUCUGUAAGCCUGCGAAGGUGUACUGUGAGGUAUGCUGGAGGUAUCAGAAGUGCGAAUGCUGACAUAAGUAACGAUAAAGCGGGUGAAAAGCCCGCUCGCCGGAAGACCAAGGGUUCCUGUCCAACGUUAAUCGGGGCAGGGUGAGUCGACCCCUAAGGCGAGGCCGAAAGGCGUAGUCGAUGGGAAACAGGUUAAUAUUCCUGUACUUGGUGUUACUGCGAAGGGGGGACGGAGAAGGCUAUGUUGGCCGGGCGACGGUUGUCCCGGUUUAAGCGUGUAGGCUGGUUUUCCAGGCAAAUCCGGAAAAUCAAGGCUGAGGCGUGAUGACGAGGCACUACGGUGCUGAAGCAACAAAUGCCCUGCUUCCAGGAAAAGCCUCUAAGCAUCAGGUAACAUCAAAUCGUACCCCAAACCGACACAGGUGGUCAGGUAGAGAAUACCAAGGCGCUUGAGAGAACUCGGGUGAAGGAACUAGGCAAAAUGGUGCCGUAACUUCGGGAGAAGGCACGCUGAUAUGUAGGUGAAGUCCCUCGCGGAUGGAGCUGAAAUCAGUCGAAGAUACCAGCUGGCUGCAACUGUUUAUUAAAAACACAGCACUGUGCAAACACGAAAGUGGACGUAUACGGUGUGACGCCUGCCCGGUGCCGGAAGGUUAAUUGAUGGGGUUAGCGGUAACGCGAAGCUCUUGAUCGAAGCCCCGGUAAACGGCGGCCGUAACUAUAACGGUCCUAAGGUAGCGAAAUUCCUUGUCGGGUAAGUUCCGACCUGCACGAAUGGCGUAAUGAUGGCCAGGCUGUCUCCACCCGAGACUCAGUGAAAUUGAACUCGCUGUGAAGAUGCAGUGUACCCGCGGCAAGACGGAAAGACCCCGUGAACCUUUACUAUAGCUUGACACUGAACAUUGAGCCUUGAUGUGUAGGAUAGGUGGGAGGCUUUGAAGUGUGGACGCCAGUCUGCAUGGAGCCGGCCUUGAAAUACCACCCUUUAAUGUUUGAUGUUCUAACGUUGGCCCCUUACCGGGGUUGCGGACAGUGUCUGGUGGGUAGUUUGACUGGGGCGGUCUCCUCCUAAAGAGUAACGGAGGAGCACGAAGGUUGGCUAAUCCUGGUCGGACAUCAGGAGGUUAGUGCAAUGGCAUAAGCCAGCUUGACUGCGAGCGUGACGGCGCGAGCAGGUGCGAAAGCAGGUCAUAGUGAUCCGGUGGUUCUGAAUGGAAGGGCCAUCGCUCAACGGAUAAAAGGUACUCCGGGGAUAACAGGCUGAUACCGCCCAAGAGUUCAUAUCGACGGCGGUGUUUGGCACCUCGAUGUCGGCUCAUCACAUCCUGGGGCUGAAGUAGGUCCCAAGGGUAUGGCUGUUCGCCAUUUAAAGUGGUACGCGAGCUGGGUUUAGAACGUCGUGAGACAGUUCGGUCCCUAUCUGCCGUGGGCGCUGGAGAACUGAGGGGGGCUGCUCCUAGUACGAGAGGACCGGAGUGGACGCAUCACUGGUGUUCGGGUUGUCAUGCCAAUGGCACUGCCCGGUAGCUAAAUGCGGAAGAGAUAAGUGCUGAAAGCAUCUAAGCACGAAACUUGCCCCGAGAUGAGUUCUCCCUGACUCCUUGAGAGUCCUGAAGGAACGUUGAAGACGACGACGUUGAUAGGCCGGGUGUGUAAGCGCAGCGAUGCGUUGAGCUAACCGGUACUAAUGAACCGUGAGGCUUAACCUU